AUGACGGAAAUUGUGCACAUCCAGGUCGGUCAGUGUGGCAACCAGAUCGGUGCUAAGUUUAGGAGGUGAUCAGCGAUGAGCAUGGCAUCGACCCCACCGACACGUACCAUGAGGACAGUGACCUGCAGCUGGACCGCAUUUUCAUGUACUACAAUGAAGCCACAGGGGCAGGCAACAACCGGGCCAAGGGCCACUACACAGAGGGGGCAAAGCUGGUGGAUUCUGUCCUGGAUGUGGUGCGGAAAGAGGCCGAGAGCUGUGACUGCCUGCAGGGCUUCCAGCUGACCCACUUGCUGGGUGGCGGCACAGGCUCUGGCAUGGGCACCCUGCUCAUCAGCAAGAUCCGAGAGGAGUACCCCGACCGCAUCAUGAACACCUUCACCAUGGUGCCCUCGCCCAAGGUAUCCGACACCGUGGUUGAGCCCUACAAUGCCACCCUCUCUGUCCAUCAGCUGGUGGAGAACACAGAUGAGACCUACUGCAUUGACAACGAGGCCCUGUACGACAUCUGCUUCCGCACCCUCAAGCUGACCACACCCACCUAUGGAGACCUCAACCAUCUGGUCUCAGCCACCAUGAGCGGCGUCACUACCUGCCUCCGCUUUCCUGGCCAGCUCAAUGCCGACUUGCGCAAGCUGGCCUUGAAAAUGGUGCCCUUUCCACACCUGCACUUCUUCAUGCCAGGGUUUGCCCCUCUCACCAGCCGUGGCAGCCAGCAGUACCGUGCCCUGACCGUGCCUGAGCUCACCCAGCAGGUCUUUGAUGCCAAGAACACGAUGGCUGCCUGCAACCCGCGCCAGGGCCGCUACCUCAUGGUGGCUGCUGUCUUCUGAGGCCGCAUGUCCAUGAAGGAGGUGGAUGAGCAGAUGCUCAACGUGCAGAACAAGAACAGCAGCUACUUCGUGGAGUGGAUCCCCAAUAAUGUGAAGACGGCUGUGUGUGACAUCCCACCAAGUGGCCUCAAGAUGGCUGUCACCUUCAUUGGCAACAGCACAGCCAUCCAAGAGCUGUUCAAGCGCAUCUCAGAGCAGUUGGCCAUAUUCCGGCCCAAGGCCUUCCUGCACUGGCACAUGGGCGAGGGCAUGAACAAGAUGGAGUUCACCGAGGCUGAGAGCAACAUGAAUGACCUGGUGUCCAAGUACCAGCAGUACCAGGACGCCACUGCGGAAGAGGAAGAAGAUUUCGGGGAGGAGGCAAAAGAGGAGGCUUAAGCCAGAGUCCCUGUCACCUCGGGCUCCUCACUUCCU